GGAGGUAUAACUCAGUGGUAGAGCACGUACUUGGGUUGCACAAGAUCCUGGAUUCAAUCUCCAGUGCUUCCG
rnacentral:tRNA from 1 species